rnacentral:tmRNA from 1 species
GGGGGUGACUUGGCUUCGACGCUGGUUGCGAAACCUAAGGUGCAUGCCGAGAGGGUAGUGACUCUCGUUAAACAAUCGCUGUAACUUGUUAUAGUUGCCAAUGACGAAAACUACGCGCUAGCUGCCUAAAAAACCUAACCUUCGGGUUAAUUUUUAUUUAGCUUACCUCGGGGCGGAUGUGCCCAUGUAUUCAAACCGAGGGCUCGACUCAUGGGACCGCUGUCAGACCCCGCUUGCGGUUAAAGCAGUUAAACUUAAAGCAAGCUCGCCGUUUAAUCCCUGUUUGCCGGGCUAGUGAACGGUUAAAUAAUAGACAGACUAUGCAUGUAGAGCCGAAGGUAGAGAACUGACGGACGCGGGUUCAACUCCCGCCACCUCCACCA